CUACGGGUUGCUGCAGUAGGGAAUCUUAGACAAUGGGGGAAACCCUGAUCUAGCCAUGCCGCGUGAGUGAUGAAGGCCUUAGGGUUGUAAAGCUCUUUCGCUGGGGAAGAUAAUGACGGUACCCAGUAAAGAAACCCCGGCUAACUCCGUGCCAGGCAGCCGCGGUAAUACGGAGGGGGUUAGCGUUGUUCGGAAUUACUGGGCGUAAAGCGCGCGUAGGCGGGCUAUUAAGUCAGGGGUGAAAUCCCGGGGCUCAACCCCGGAACUGCCUUUGAUACUGGUAGUCUUGAGUUCGAGAGAGGUGAGUGGAAUUCCGAGUGUAGAGGUGAAAUUCGUAGAUAUUCGGAGGAACAUCAGUGGCGAAGGCGACUCACUGGCUCGAUACUGACGCUGAGGUGCGAAAGUGUGGGGAGCAAACAGGAUUAGAUACCCGCGUAGUC
rnacentral:rRNA from 1 species